UUGACCCUUCAUCGUCGAUUCUUUUCUUGUAUAUGUCUACUUCUUAAUAUUUUGUUUGCUCAGUGUCACAUUUCGCUUAUAGCGUGUAGGACGUUAUUUCAAUAAUGUGAACGCGUAAAUAUAUUCUUUUUUCUGUUUCUGAUGAGGACGGCAGCGCUGUCGAAACGUAAAAAGAGAGUUUUUUAAUUUUUAACUUCCUUGACUCAGUGUGAUCGAUUACAUCAAAUUCUUACUAUUUAAUACGACUGAGUGA